rnacentral:tmRNA from 1 species
GGGGGUGCCUUUGGCUUCGACGGGAUUAUUAAGAUUUAUUUUGCAAGUCGCGAGUCUUUCGUUAAAGACAAAAUUAAAUAUAACUGGAAACAGCUAUAAAAAUGCUGUUGCUUUUGCUUAAUUAAUUAAGUAAACAACAGGUCUUCCUAUUUCUUUGCUUGUGAGAAAUAAAGAAGACUUAUAAAGCAAGCUAUAUUGUGUUUAUGUUUAGGACUCACAACGAACUAUACUAAACUAGAAAAUAUUAUAGAUUGUCAAUUGACUAUACUAUUUUCAAAAAAUAAUAAUUGACUAAACUUGUAGAUAAAUAAGUUAAGAUUUUUUCGGACAGGGGUUCGAUUCCCCUCACCUCCACCA